GACGGAGGGUGCUAGCGUUGUUCGGAAUUACUGGGCGUAAAGGGCUCGUAGGCGGCCAACUAAGUCAUACGUGAAAUCCCCCGGCUUAACCGGGGAACUGCGUCUGAUACUGGAUGGCUUGAGUUCGGGAGAGGGAUGCGGAAUUCCAGGUGUAGCGGUGAAAUGCGUAGAUAUCUGGAGGAACACCGGUGGCGAAGGCGGCAUCCUGGACCGAUACUGACGCUGAGGAGCGAAAGCCAGGGGAGCAAACGGG
rnacentral:rRNA from 1 species